rnacentral:rRNA from 1 species
UUGACCUCAAANCAGGUAGGACUA